AGGUGGCAGGUGUGGCAGCUGUGUCACGUGUGUGUCAGAGAGGAGAAAGGCUAUGUCUAUCUAUGUUCAGUGUUCUGACAUGUGAAUGAAUAGUGACCUACCAUU
rnacentral:snoRNA from 1 species